rnacentral:rRNA from 1 species
GACGAACGCUGGCGGCGUGCUUAACACAUGCAAGUCGAACGGAAAGGCCCUGCUUGCAGGGUACUCGAGUGGCGAACGGGUGAGUAACACGUGGGUGAUCUGCCCUGCACUUCGGGAUAAGCCUGGGAAACUGGGUCUAAUACCGGAUAGGAGCCAUUUUUAGUGUGAUGGUUGGAAAGUUUUUUCGGUGUAGGAUGAGCUCGCGGCCUAUCAGCUUGUUGGUGGGGUAAUGGCCUACCAAGGCGGCGACGGGUAGCCGGCCUGAGAGGGUGGACGGCCACAUUGGGACUGAGAUACGGCCCAGACUCCUACGGGAGGCAGCAGUGGGGAAUAUUGCACAAUGGGCGCAAGCCGGAUGCAGCGACGCCGCGUGGGGGAUGACGGCCUUCGGGUUGGAAACUCCUUUCGCUAGGGACGAAGCUUUUUGUGACGGUACCUAGAGAAGAAGCACCGGCUAACUACGUG